rnacentral:rRNA from 1 species
UACAGAGGGGGCAAGCGUUGUUCGGAAUUACUGGGCGUAAAGGGCGCGUAGGCGGCCUGUUAAGUCGGACGUGAAAUCCCCGGGCUCAACCCGGGAACUGCGUCCGAUACUGGCAGGCUUGAAUUCGGGAGAGGGAUGCGGAAUUCCAGGUGUAGCGGUGAAAUGCGUAGAUAUCUGGAGGAAUACCGGUGGCGAAGGCGGCAUCCUGGACCAUUACUGACGCUGAGGCGCGAAAGCUAGGGGAGCAAACGGG